AUGAGGGAUGGGAGAUCACCCAUUCACCCUGCUCGCCGAAAUCCCCUCAGUCACGAUCGACCGGAUCUUCCCGCCAACUUUUCUUCUUGUCCCAAAUUGACAAUCUCACUUUUUGACAUCGUAGCAAUCCCAAGCGCGGUUGAAGUAGAGUUCGAUGUUGGAGAUGAUGUAGAAGAAGCUGGUCAAAGGGAAGAAGCUGGUCAGGACAUUUCGAGAGAAGCUUCUCUCCCUCAUAAUUUGAGGAGGGAGAUUUAUGAUUCUGCCAACAUUCAGAUGGAAUCGAUUCUUCAACACUGUUUUGUGAUGAACCCUAAAGAAUAUGCCAAUGCCAAUGAAGGGGAUGACGUCUUUUUAUGCAAAUAUGAAUAUGAUAUUCACUGGUACAGUUUCAAGCGUUUUGCAGAAAUUGAUGAUGAUGAUGAUGAAGAGAGUGAUUAUGAUUGGAAACGUAGCAAAGACUCAGACUCCGAUACAGAAGAAUAAGUUGAGUUUGAAGAAGAGAGCACAAAGAAUAUACUGGCUAAACCAUCUCGAGCUCAUGAGUUGGCUGCAAAUUCACAUAAGGGGCGUUUUAUGGACUUCAAAAAAUUGGAAUGAAGCAAAUCCCUAAGCAUGUUAGAUGCCAUAAGCAGACUGCUCUUGAAAGAGCAAAAUCAACACUUCUGUUGGCAUCAUUGCCCAAGUCUUUACCUUGCAGGGAUAAAUAAAUGUUGGAGAUAAGUGCAUUCAUCAAGGGUGCCAUCUCUGAUGAUAAAUGCGUUGGACGUUGCCUCUAUAUACAUGGUGUUCCUGGAACUGGAAAGACUAUGAGUGUACUAGCAGUAAUGAGGAAUUUAAGGACUGAAGUUGAUGCUGGAAGUAUGAUGCUUAUAAGACCUUACUGUUUCGUUGAGAUAAAUGGUCUAAAAUUGGCAUCACCUGAGAAUAUCUACAGGGUUAGAUAUGAAGCAUUAAGUGGGCAUCUAGUUGGUUGGAAAAAGGCUCCCCACUUGCUAAAUGAGUGAUUUUCCAAUGGAAAGAAGUUUGGCAAAGAGGAUGACAAACCUUGUGCACUUCUUAUUGAUGAACUUGUUCUUCUUGUGACCAGAAACCAAUCGGUUCUCUACAAUAUUCUUGACUGGCCUACUAAGCCAAACUCAAAGUUAGUUGUAAUAGGCAUAGCAAAUUCCAUGGAUCUUCCAGAAAAGAUGCUUCCUUGUAUUUCAAGUCGAAUGGGAAUCCAAAGGCUUUGCUUUGGCCCCUAUAAUUAUAGGCAGCUUCAAGAGAUCAUUUCGAGUCGGCUUAGAGGAAUUGAUGCAUUUGAAAAACAAGAUAUAGAGUUCGCUUCAAGAAAGGUUGCAUUUAUUUCUGGAGAUGCUUGUCGUGCAUUGGAGAUAUGCAGUUGUGCCGCUGAAAUCAAGAUUACCGCACAAAGAAGCUAAUCUCAACUCAGAACUUUGCAGGGAAAGCACUUGUUGGUAUGGCAGAGGUUGAAGCAGCCAUACAAGAGAUGUUCCAGGUACCUCAUAUCCAGGUGAUGAAAACUUGUUCCAAACUGAGUAAAAUCUAUUUGACGGCUAUGGUAUAUGAACUCUAUAAAACAGGAAUGGGUGAAAUUACUUUCGAGAAGUUGGAAAUGACAGUAUAUAAUCUGUGUACAAGCAAUGGAGAAGCAUUUCCUGGACAUGAUACGCUGUUGAAAGUUGGCUGUAAGCUUGGUGAAUGCAGAUUUAUUCUAUGUGAAUCAGGAGUAAAGCACAGGUUACAGAAAUUACAGCUCAACUUUCCAAGGUUUGUUCUGAUUAGACUAGUCACCGCAGGCCAUCCUUAUUUUAGUAGUUGUAUAGCAGUAGUCAAGUAUUAUGUCAUAAAGAGCCUCUUGCAGGGUUUGGGAAUGGGCUCAGGUCCUUGGGCCUAGACCCAAACCCGAACCCCAAAAAAGUCAAGUUUGGAAUUGGGUUGUUGGGCCUGA